rnacentral:lncRNA from 1 species
CUUUGCGCUUUCUCCCCGCCUCCGGGAUCUCAGUUGCCUCUCCGUGCCUUGCCUUGUCGGAGCUUGUUUUGGGCAACGCGGAGCUGCGACUUCAUGGUCCCAAACCUUUGUGCCUAAUACACGGCCGGAAAAUGUGGCGGCGAGUCUUUGGAGGAGGCCUCUUCUCUGCAAUUCUUAGAGCAGUGUCUCCAAUGUUAGCCAUUUGAAGAUGUGUGGACUUCAACUCCCAGAAUCCCUCAGCCAGCAUUGCAACCCUGCCUGGAAAGAAGAUUGGUCACUCCUAAUUUUGCUAGUUUGAUGCCCCCUGAGGAUGGCCUUAUUAGGAAGCAGCCCAAAGCAGCCCACCUCACUGUGGGGAGGUAGCCCUUUUAUUAAUAUGGAUUUGCAUGUCCCCUUUGAAUGCUAAAGGCUCUUCUCAGGGCGCUUUUGAAUUGUUUUAUCAAAUGCCUUUUCUUGUAAGAGAUAAAACAUGAAUAGCUGCCGUUUCAUAAAGGAAACGGCAGCAACAUACAUAAAAGGGGCAGCCGUUCAAAAUGUGAGGCAGCAGCAGC